rnacentral:lncRNA from 1 species
AUGUUCUUCCCAUAAGCUCAUGGCUUUUGAGAAUACUGUUGGUCCCAAAGGGGAGACAGUAGUUGGUCAAAGGAAUACCACCUCAGCCCAGGAAGGGGACUGUGUACUGAAGGAACAGUAAGGUGUCCUUGAGGGGUUUGAAGGGUUCCUGGUGAGGCUCGAUUGUGUUGUAGGAUGAAGGCUGAAGAGUGGGGUGGGAGGCAGGGACGAGGAAGGAGAUGGGUCAUGAGCUCUAUUAAAAUGUAUUUUUGUAAUUCCGAGUUGAAAAUAGACAUACCGACUUCAUGCUGACUGUUUCGGCUUCGUGACAUAGCCUGGCUCGUGGGGGCCUUCCCAUUCAGCACGUCUCCGUGGCAACAGGCCACUUUCUCAUUCACGCCAUCUCCAGGGUUACCUUGCUUGGCUCAUUCAGGACUGUUGCCAUAGAGACAGGUCCAUUGAUACAAUCUUGACGCUUUGGAACUUUGCUUUCCCGAAUGAUGGAGUAUUGGCCGUGGGGUACGGAUGACAUUGUGAUAGGGUGUGAGGCGAAGAGAGUUCUGGGAGUUGAGGUAUAAAGACUUAAAAUCUGGCAAGAGGAAGAUGAGGUCAUGGUAGGAGAUAUGAAUCCCAUUGCUGCCACGUGAACUAGCUCAGGCUAGCCUGCUGGAGGAUGAAAAGCUGCCAUGUGAACUAGCUCAGGCUAGCCUGCUGGAGGGUGAAAGACCAUAGGGAGUGGAGCACAGUCAUUCCAGCCGAGGUCAUCCUGGACCAGUCUGCAGCCAGCUAACAGCCAAACAGAAGAGCCACCCAGCUGACCCGCAGCUGACCAAAGAUGCAUGAAUGAGCUCAACUGAGACCAGAUAAAGCACCCAACUGGGCCCAGCCUAAACUGCCACCCUUCAGAAUCAUGAGC